AAGAAGUCGGUGGACAAGAACAGCAACGAGUACCGGGUGCGGCGCGAGCGCAACAACAUCGCGGUGCGCAAGAGCCGCGACAAGGCCAAGCAGCGCAACGUGGAGACGCAGCAGAAGGUGCUGGAGCUGACCAGUGACAAUGACCGCCUGCGCAAGCGGGUGGAACAGCUGAGCCGCGAACUGGACACGCUGCGGGGCAUCUUCCGCCAGCUGCCAGAGAGCUCCUUGGUCAAGGCCAUGGGCAACUGCGCGUGAGGCGCGCGGCUGUGGGACCGCCCUGGGCCAGCCUCCGGCGGGGACCCAGGGAGUGGUUUGGGGUCGCCGGAUCUCGAGGCUUGCCCGAGCCGUGCGAGCCAGGACUAGGAGAUUCCGGUGCCUCCUGAAAGCCUGGCCUGCUCCGCGUGUCCCCUCCCUUCCUCUGCGCCGGACUUGCAUUGCCUAGGAACACGAAGCACGAUCAGUCCAUCCCAGAGGGACCGGAGUUAUGACAAGCUUUCCAAAUAUUUUGCUUUAUCAGCCGAUAUCAACACUUGUAUCUGGCCUCUGUGCCCCAGCAGUGCCUUGUGCAAUGUGAAUGUGCGCGUCUCUGCUAAACCACCAUUUUAUUUGGUUUUUGUUUUGUUUUGGUUUUGCUCGGAUACUUGCCAAAAUGAGACUCUCCGUCGGCAGCUGGGGGAAGGGUCUGAGACUCCCUUUCCUUUUGGUUUUGGGAUUACUUUUGAUCCUGGGGGACCAAUGAGGUGAGGGGGGUUCUCCUUUGCCCUCAGCUUUCCCCAGCCCCUCCGGCCUGGGCUGCCCACAAGGCUUGUCCCCCAGAGGCCCUGGCUCCUGGUCGGGAAGGGAGGUGGCCUCCCGCCAACGCAUCACUGGGGCUGGGAGCAGGGAAGGACGGCUUGGUUCUCUUCUUUUGGGGAGAACGUAGAGUCUCACUCUAGAUGUUUUAUGUAUUAUAUCUAUAAUAUAAACAUAUCAAAGUCAA
rnacentral:lncRNA from 10 species